CCUACGGGUGGCAGCAGUGGGGAAUAUUGGGCCAUGGAGGCAACUCUGACCCAGCAACGCCGCGUGAAUGAUGAAGGUCUUCGGAUUGUAAAGUUCUGUGAUGGGGGAUGAACACAAUGACGGUACCCCAAUAGCAAGCCACGGCUAACUACGUGCCAGCAGCCGCGGUAAUACGGAAGGUCCGGGCGUUAUCCGGAUUUAUUGGGUUUAAAGGGAGCGUAGGCCGGCUUUUAAGUCAGCUGUGAAAGUCCGCGGCUCAACCGUGGAAUUGCAGUUGAAACUGGAGGCCUUUAGUGCACACAGGGAUGCUGGAAUUCAUGGUGUAGCGGUGAAAUGCUUAGAUAUCAUGAAGAACUCCGAGCGCGAAGGCAAGUGUCCGGGGUGCAACUGACGCUGAGGCUCGAAAGUGCGGGUAUCAAACAGGAUUAGAUACCCCUGUAGUC
rnacentral:rRNA from 1 species